rnacentral:ncRNA from 1 species
CUUCCACAAUGGACGCAAGUCUGAUGGAGCAACGCCGCGUGAGUGAAGAAGGUUUUCGGAUCGUAAAGCUCUGUUGUUGGUGAAGAAGGAUAGAGGCAGUAACUGGUCUUUAUUUGACGGUAAUCAACCAGAAAGUCACGGCUAACUACGUGCCAGCAGCCGCGGUAAUACGUAGGUGGCAAGCGUUGUCCGGAUUUAUUGGGCGUAAAGCGAGCGCAGGCGGAAUGAUAAGUCUGAUGUGAAAGCCCACGGCUCAACCGGGGAGGGUCAUUGGAAACUGGGAGACUUGAGUGCAGAAGAGGAAAGUGGAAUUCCAUGUGUAGCGGUGAAAUGCGUAGAUAUAUGGAGGAACACCAGUGGCGAAGGCGGCUUUCUGGUCUGUAACUGACGCUGAGGCUCGAAAGCGUGGGGAGCAAACAGGAUUAGAUACCCUGGUAGUCCACGCCGUAAACGAUGAGUGCUAAGUGUUAGAGGGUUUCCGCCCUUUAGUGCUGAAGUUAACGCAUUAAGCACUCCGGCUGGGGAGUACGGCCGCAAGGCUGAAAC